UGGGUGUAUAGCUCAGUUGGUAGAGCGAUCGGCUUUUAACCGACGUGUCGCAGGUUCGAAUCCUGCUAUACCCAU
rnacentral:tRNA from 1 species